UACGUAGGGUGCAAGCGUUUGUCCGGAAUUAUUGGGCGUAAAGAGCUCGUAGGCGGCUUGUCACGUCGGGUGUGAAAGCCCGGGGCUUAACCCCCGGGUCUGCAUUCGAUACGGGCUGGCUAGAGUGUGGUAGGGGAGAUCGAAUUCCUGGUGUAGCGGUGAAAUGCGCAGAUAUCGGGAGGAACACCGGUGGCGAAGGCGGAUCUCUGGGCCAUUACUGACGCUGAGGAGCGAAAGCGUGGGGAGCGAACAGG
rnacentral:rRNA from 1 species